rnacentral:rRNA from 1 species
GAAUAUUAGUCAAUGCUCGAAAGAGUGAACUAGCUAACUGAAAUCAAUUAAAAAAUUGAUAACAUAAGGGAAAAUAAUGAUAUUACCUUAUUAUUAGUGUCGUCCAAAACUGGUGCCAGAAGACUCGGUAAGGCCAGAGACAUAAACGUUAAUCGUCUUAAUCAGGCGUAAAGGGUUUGUAGGCGGCUUUUAAUUUUAUUUAUUUAUUUUUGUUUUUUAUUAAAAUUUAUAAGUACAGAAUAAAAGCUAGAAUCAAAUAGAGGAUAUAUCAAAUAAUGCUUAGAGUAGGUCUGAUAUCCUUAGAUACUAAGUAGAAUAUUAAAGGCGAAGGCUUUUUUCCAUUAAUGAUUGACGCUCAGAAACGAAGGUGAGGAUAGGAAAUAGGAUUAGAUACCCAAAAUACCCCUCUCUGUCAACGAUGAAUGGUAGUUAUUAGUAAUAAAUUAAUUAAUGACAAUGUUAACACGAUAACCAUUCCGCCUUGUGAGUACAACUGCAAAGUUGAAAACAAAAAAAUUAGUCGGUUUCGGAGCAAACGAAGUGAAGCAUGUUAUUUAAUUC